UAAAAAGGUACUCAAGGGCACAAAAUGGAUGCCUAGACGUAUAUUACCGAUGAAGGACGUGGAAGACUGCGAUAAGUCUCGGAGAGCUGUCAACAAGCUUUGACCCGGGAAUGUCCGAAUGAGGAAACUCAGCACGAGUCAUGUCGUGUUACUCUUAUCUGAAUAAAAUAGGAUAGGUAGAGGGAACCAACUGAACUGAAACAUCUUAGUAGGUUGAGGAAGAGAAAAUAAAUAAUGAUUCCGGGAGUAGUGGCGAGCGAAACUGGAAGAGCCCAAACCUUACAUGUUCUCAUUCUUAGGAGGUGUACUUCGGUACAUCGUGAGUGGGUAUGGCUGAUAGGCUAAUGCAUGCAGGGGGUUGUGAUUUUACACGAGACCAAGUCAGAGAACUUGAAAUUUAUUUCGAGGUAUCUGAUUUGCGAUCAUCGGCUAUCACCGAAUGAAUAAAGUAAGAAAUAUUGCUUGGUUAGCAGAAUAGUUUGAAUGACUAUCCAAAGAACGUGAAAGACGUGUACGCGAAAACCGAGCUGACUUUAUACGUGUUUUAUCGAGUAGGGCGGGGCACGAGAAACCCUGUCUGAAUCCGGCUGGACCACCAGCCAAGGCUAAAUAUAAUAUACGAUCGAUAGUGAACUAGUACAGCGAUGGAAAGGUGAAAAGAACCCCGGGAGGGGAGUGAAAUAGAUCCUGAAAUUUUGUGCCUACAAGGAGUCGGAGCCCGCUUGUCGGGUGACGGCGUGCUUUUUGUAGAACGAUCCAGCGAGUUAAUUUCGUGCGCAAGGUUAAGUCAAGUGACGGAGCCACAGUGAAAGCGAGCCUGAAUAGGGCGAUUAAGUGCACGGGAUUAGACCCGAAACCGGGUGACCUAACCAUGAGCAGGUUGAAGCUUCUGUAACAGGAAGUGAAGGACCGAACCGUAGUCAGCAGCAAAUGGCCCGGAUGACUUGUGGUUAGCGGUGAAAUGCCAAUCGAACUCGGAGAUAGCUGGUUCUCCUCGAAAUAGCUUUAGGGCUAGCGUCGUGUAGUAGCAUUUGGGGGUAGAGCUCUGAAAAGGACUGGGGCGGGCAACUGUACCCACCCUUAUCAAACUACGAAUACCAAAUGUGUAAUCACGGCAGUUAGAACGUCGGGGCUAAGCUCGGCGCUCGAAAGGGAAACAGCCCAGACCAUCGUCUAAGGUCCCUAAAUUUACACUCAGUGGGAAACAAGGUGAGAUUUCUUAAACAGCUAGGAUGUUGGCUUAGAAGCAGCCAUUCAUUUAAAGAGUGCGUAACAGCUCACUAGUCAAGAGAUCUUGCGUGGAAAAUGUAACGGGGCUAAAGUGUAAUACCGAAGACAUGGAUGUGCUAUACCUGCGGGUAUAGUGCGUGGUAGAGGAGCGUUCCUAUCAGCGGUGAAGUCAGACUGGAAAGUACUGGUGGAGCGUUAGGAAGUGAGAAUGCUGGAAUGAGUAACCAUAAGAUAGGUGAGAAUCCUAUCGGCCGUAAGAGCGAGGUUUCCUGAGCCAUGGUAAUCAUCUCAGGGUUAGUCGGGCCUAAGCCGAGGCGCAUAGCGUAGGCGAUGGACAUCAGGUUAAUAUUCCUGAACCGGUUAUACUUUGCACACUGUUCACGGUGAUAUAUUUGAAGCGGAUUCAUGGUAUGUAUCCGUCCAACCUAGGGGGAACCCGAUGGGAGUGAAAGGUGAUCUUCGGAUUACCGAUUUCAGAGAAGGCACUGGCCAGAAAAGCAGAUGUGCGCGUGGGUAUAGCCGCCCGUACCGCAAACCAACACAGGUGCUCGAGUCGAGUAGACUCAGGCUUACGAGAGAACCUUCGCUAAGGAACUCGGCAAUACAGCGACCGUAACUUCGGGAUAAGGUCUGCCCCCUCUUCUUUGAAGAGGAAUUGCCGCGUACACUCAGCAAGGUGAUAAAAUACGGUUAAAUAGUGUAGUAACGAUACACAUGAGUACGCACCAUAUCGUCUUUCUAAUCUAGGAAGCAAAGUUUUGUUGCAAGACAAAGCCUCUUGAUCCGAUGUGGUCGUGAAAAACCCUUUUUAAUCACAAUUCUUACUGAGAUAGAGCAAUAUGAAAAUCAUGCACACGCAUGGAGUUAUUACUGUUCUUUUGUACGCGGAGUUACUUCGUCUUUAAUGAUGAGGGGGCCGCAGCAAAAGAGCCCACGGAACUGUUUAUCAAAAACACAGGUCUCUGCUAACACGAAAGUGGAUGUAUAGGGGCUGACUCCUGCCCGGUGCCGGAAGGUUAAGGCGAAGGCUUCACGGUCUGAACUGAAGCCCCGGUGAACGGCGGCGGUAACUAUAACCGUCCUAAGGUAGCGAAAUUCCUUGUCAGGUAAGUUCUGACCCGCACGAAUGGAGUAAUCAUGUGGGCACUGUCUCAGCGAAGGACUCGGUGAAAGUGCAUUGGCGGUAAAGAUGCCGUCUGUCCGUACCAGGACGAGAAGACCCCAUGGAGCUUUACUACAGUUUUACAUUGAUACGAGUUUUGGCCCGUGUAGAAUAGGUGGGAGACGUUGAAGCAGAUACGCUAGUAUUUGUGGAGUCGAAAUGUGAAAUACCACCCUUGCCAAGGUUUUUAUCUAACCUGUGCCGUUAUCCGGUAUGGGAACAGUGUAUGAUGGGUAGUUUAACUGGGGCGGUUGCCUCCUAAAGAGUAGCGGAGGCGUUCAAAGGUUGGCUAGCUUCGGAUGGAAAUCGAAGUGAUAGUGUAUGCGCAAAAGCCAGCUUGACUGUGAGGAGUACCUUCCAAGCAGAGACGAAAGUCGGAGCAAGUGAACCGCUGUACGUACAAUUUGUACAUAUAUGUGGGAAUGACAGCGAACACGGAUAAAAGUUACCCUGGGGAUAACAGGCUUAUAGCGCCCAAUAGUUCACAUAGACGGCGCUGUUUGGCACCUCGAUGUCGGCUCAUCACAUCCUGGAGGGGGAGCACCUUCCAAGGGUUCGGCUGUUCGCCGAUUAAAGUGGUACGCGAGCUGGGUUCAGAACGUCGUGAGACAGUUCGGUUUAUAUCCGGUACGGACGUUAGGAAAUUUGAGUGGAUUUGCCCUUAGUACGAGAGGACCGGGGUGAACGAACCUCUGGUGUAUCGAUUGUGGCCACCUGCCGCAUUGUCGAGUAGCUAUGUUCGGUUCUAGAUAAGCGCUGAAAGCAUAUUAAGCGCGAAACUGACCACAAGAUUAGAUUUCCCUAUGAGGACACAGAAAGAUUAUCUGUUUGAUAGGUGCAAGGUAGAAGUGCAGUAAUGCAUGCAGCUGAAGCAUACUAAUAGUCCCAUCGCCUUUUUAUG
rnacentral:rRNA from 1 species